rnacentral:rRNA from 1 species
UACGUAGGGUGCAAGCGUUGUCCGGAAUUAUUGGGCGUAAAGAGCUCGUAGGCGGUUUGUUGCGUCGGCUGUGAAAUCCCGAGGCUCAACCUCGGGUCUGCAGUCGAUACGAGCAAACUAGAGUGUUGCAGGGGGAGACUGGAAUUCCUGGUGGUAGCGGUGAAAUGCGCAGAUAUCAGGGAGGAACACCGGUGGGCGAAGGC